UGGAAGAAAAUAAAUAAGAACUUGAAUAUUAAUAGAUAUGUUCUUUAAAAUCAAAGAAUUUGGCGGUAUUUUAGUCUUGUUAGAGGAACCUGUUCUGUAAUCGAUAAAACACGUAAAAUUUUAUUUGCUUUUGUUAUUCAGUUUGUAUACCGUCAUUAUUAAAUAAUCUUGAAAAAGCUAAUUAUUGGGGUUAGCAGUUUAAGCUAAGUAUAUUAGAUCAAGGUGCAGCUUAUGGGCAAGUAGAAAUGGGUUACAAUAAAAUAUAUUUAAACGGAUUGUGAGUAGAAUUAUUUACAAAGAAGGUGGAUGUAAUUGUAAGAAUAAUUUAAUAAGUUAUUUUGAUAUAAGCUCUAAAUUAUGUACAUAUCGCCCGUCGCUUUCAUUUAAAAUGAAAUA
rnacentral:rRNA from 1 species